rnacentral:rRNA from 1 species
UCAAAAACAUGUCCUAUUGUUAAUAAUUUUAGGUUUGAUCUGCCCCCUGAAUUUUAAAUGGCCGCAGUAUCUUGACUGUGCUAAGGUAGCAUAAUAAUUAGUUUCUUAAUUAGAAGCUGGAAUGAAUGAUUUUAUGAAAAAAGGACUGUCUCUAACUAAAUUUAUUAAAAAUUUAUUUUUUAGUAAAAAGGCUAAAAUUUAAUUUAAAGACGAGAAGACCCUAUAGAGUUUUAUAUUACUUUAAUUUAAUAUUUAUAAGAAUUUUAAAUUUUUAAAUUAUUAUAUUAUUUGGUUGGGGUGAUUGGAAAAUUAAUAAAACUUUUCUUUAAAUAUUACAUUAAUUUAUGAUUUAUUGAUCCAUUAUUUAUGAUUAAAAGAUUUAAUUACCUUAGGGAUAACAGCGUAAUUUUUUCAAAGAGUUCUUAUCGAAGAAAAAGAUUGCGACCUCGAUGUUGGAUUAAAAUAAACUUUUGGUGUAGAAGCUAAAUUUUGGUUAGGUCUGUUCGACCUUUAUAAUUUUACAUGAUCUGA